GAUGAACGCUGGCGGCGUGCCUAAUACAUGCAAGUCGAGCGAACAGACGAGGAGCUUGCUCCUCUGACGUUAGCGGCGGACGGGUGAGUAACACGUGGAUAACCUACCUAUAAGACUGGGAUAACUUCGGGAAACCGGAGCUAAUACCGGAUAAUAUAUUGAACCGCAUGGUUCAAUAGUGAAAGACGGUUUUGCUGUCACUUAUAGAUGGAUCCGCGCCGCAUUAGCUAGUUGGUAAGGUAACGGCUUACCAAGGCGACGAUGCGUAGCCGACCUGAGAGGGUGAUCGGCCGCAGUGGAAGUGAGACACGGUGCAGACGCGUACGGGAGGCAGCAGUAGGGAGUCUUGUGCAAUGGUGGAAAGACUGACGGAGCAACGCAGCGUGAAUGAAGAAGGUAUUCGUAUCGUAAAACUCUGUUAUUAGGAAAGAACAAAUGUCUAAGAAACUAUGCACGUCUUGACGGUACCAAAUCAGAAAGGCACGGCUAACUACGUG
rnacentral:rRNA from 1 species